CAAGUGCAGUUUUCAGGCUAUGCUCCCCUGCACUGUAAGACUGACUUACUGAGUGCAGUCUAGCGUUUUGUCUAAAUUUUUAGUAAGACAAUCAAUGAAAGUGGCUGAAGGCCACAUUUUGAACCUUUAGCAGAUGUCUUAACUUCCAUACUGGAGUGUGACUGGGUCAAUUGAUAUUGUGAAAAUGCAAAAC